UAUCACUCGAUUUUGAUAAAAAAAAAUUGAUUCAUCGUAAGUUUCAGUUUCAUUUUGCAAUCCUUGGAUUGCUCGAAACUGAGUGAACGUUUAAAAUUUUAGUAAUUUCAAGUUUGUUGUGAAAGACAGGUUAGUUGAAUCCAUCUUCGUAAAGCAAUCUGGCUUUACAUCAAUUUUUCUCGCAUGCUAUUUAUUCACAAGAUGAAAAUUCGAGUAAAAUGGAGGAAGAACUCAAGAUAACGCUCAACAGUUUUUACAUCUUUAACCCUUUAUUAGGAUGCAAAGAAGGAGAGGAGGAUAAAAAGAUCUUAUUUUACUAUCCGGCGAAAACAGAUGUUACCACACAAGUGAAAAAUGUCGGCUUGAGCGAAGCUAUUAUUAAAUUCACUGAAAAUUUCAUUUCCAAAGAAGAAUGCAAAUCUGUUCACAUGCUAAAAACGAGGAGGUAUUUCUACCAUCCGGAAGGCGACUGUUGGAUCGUUAUGACGAUCAACGUUCCUUGCAUUUCAUCAAAAAAUGGAUUGAAAGAUAGUUCAUACCGCAGUGAAAAUAUUCACGACGAUGUGUAUCAUUCUUUAGUAAAACAAGCCUAUGAGAUGUAUAAACUAUUCGUUGGCCCAUUUUCAUCGUUUUUGAAUAGCGAUCAAAAUGGAGUACAGAUACUUAAGACCAAGCUGCAACAGUUUUUCACUCGGUAUUUGCCAGUAUUGAAAAUUGCCAACUGCGAUAUUAUUGAUGUAUUCGAAGGCAUGCAGUUUUUACCGCUUGAUAAAAAAACUUAUUUACAUGCUCAAAGUUUCAUGAAUCUAUUCCAAAGUACUUUCGGUGAUGAAAUACAUUACGCUAUGUUUCUAGUUAGACAACAUUUAGUCUGGAGCAAUAUUGAAGGCGAGAGCUUACGAACUAUUUAUCGAUAUCUCACUACAAACUUAUUAUCCUCUUUUAUAAAUAAUAGUAACACGAAUGAUGCCUCGGAAGGUUCUUUUACUCAUGAUACCACCGUUUCUCCGGAGAUUACCAUUAUCAGUGAUUCUAGUUUGGGACGGCAUUUCUUGUUUGGUUGCAGAUUCAUAACGUGUCCGCCAUUCUAUUCAAAUAGCAGUAAUGUCACCAUGGGUAAAGUUCCUAAACUUUUCAUUAAAUGUGGUGAUAAAAAUAUCGUGUAUCAAUUAGUCGUCUAUAAUGUCCUGUCUUCGUUCAUUUGUAUCUUCAUUCCUGAAACCACUGAAUUAUCAAUGGAUUUAUUAAAACAUUUAGAAAAUUUUUUCAAAUUGAAAAUGAUAGCAUUCUCUUCGGAAUUAUGUUUGCAAGUGGAUAAGAAACGUUCAACUGCCAAAAAUGUCUCAAAUAGUGGCAAUUCUUUCAGUUACAUUUACUUCAACAAAUUGAAUCUAGCCCAGAAGAAUACGAUACGUAAUAAUAAAUCUUUCGUAACACCGGAAAUAUUAUCUGUGCUGAAUGAUGUUUGUUUUGAUAAAAAAAGAAGUGAUAGUGCUAUCGGUGAAACAAUCUUGAAAACGUACGAUGAUCAUUGGGUUGUUGGUCAGUUCUGCAAUGAACGAGAAUUUUACGUUGUGACACAACAGAAAAACACAACGUUGAUUGAAAUAAAUGAUGAAAUGAAGAAAAUUUGUGAAAAACAAUUGAAGAGUAUUUUUUUCCACAUAUAACCAAUUUGGAUUAUUCGUUUAUUUUGUUCUACAUAUUUCAAAAUUAUUUUUUUUUAUUAUUCACUUAUUUUGAUUGAAUUCGAUUCUCGAAUUAAACCACGUUUUUAUAAAAUAGUCCAAGUCAUUACGCAAAGUAACAAUACGGUUCAUAAUUUGAUAUAAUCGCUGAUAUUUUAUUUAGGUAUUUAAAAUUUCUUUUUCUUUUCAAACCAUAAACUGUGAUAUUCAAUUUUUAAAUUUACUUUUUUAUUUAUUUCGUGUUUCAUUUUAAUAGUUAUUCGUUUCACGGAUAUAUUUUUUUUUACAUUCGAUGUAACCAGCUGUAUAAGUGAAGUUACGCGCUAAUACAAUAACCUUUGUUUUAUGAUAUGAUUAAAAAUUACAUACAUAGAAAUCUUAAUUUGUUUGGUUAGAACAAAUCCAUGAAGAAUGAUACUUCGAGUCGUUCGACAAGUUCACAAAUAUGUAAUUACUGAUAACUUUUUAUUAGGUAAUUCAAGAUCAUAACAUCGUGGUAUGCAAAUGUAUAGGAAUUGAAUUGACAUAGGUACUUGUUUGCAGUACGUAUGCAAGUUUUAUGUUUUUCGAUAGAACUACUAUAAAAUGAAUUUUACGUUGAUCUUGUAAUGCUUUAAAAUGGUUUUCAAAUUGUUAAUAAUCUACUAAACAACAAAAUGAAUUUCAUCUACGAUUUUCCCGAUAAAGAGUCGAAAUAAAAUAAUUAAAAUGGUGUUGGAAUUAAAAAGCUUGAGAAAAAAAAACAGUCUGUGGUAAAAUCGAGCUACAAAGCGGUUUCGUUUUUAUCGAGAAUUAAAAUCAGUUUUCCAUGUCUUCGAACCCAGCUACUCCAUUUUCUGUGAUAAUGAGCCGAUCGCAAAGCAAUCCAGCACGUGUAACUGGCCAAAAUCGAUACAGUAGCGCAACCGAGCAUGAAAACUACCCAUAAUUUUUGCUUUAUCUGCCAAAGUGCAAUAGGUAUUCUUCGAUAGACUGUACGAGGUAAUACGAGGUGUUUCUGAACAAACCGCCAGAAAACCAUAACCACAAAUGAACACGAUCGGUAGGAAAGUGACUGCCAGGACCAUAUCUACUACUAGAUCUUGCGCAUCGUCGAAAUUAUCAUCGUCAGUGAGCCAUCUACGAAUUGAAUCAACUUUGGAGUACCUAUUAGGGGGAAACAAAUAUUAUUCAAGAUUGAUAUAGGUAAUCGGUUCGAUGUGUUUCAGCAAGUUCUAGGUACCGAUGUACUAAAGUACCUGCCAAUCUAAUUAAGUUUUUAAAAACUUGGCAUAAUCAAAAAUAAAUUAUAUCUAAUAGGUAUGGUCCUGGUGUGAUACAGAAUAAAUAAAUCAUAUACGCUGGAAUACAAAGUAUCGAAGAGGCUGUUAGAACCCAACCUACAUUUAUGCUCCACUCUGGAUACGUGUAUUCACCAGCGAUCAUUUCUUCAUAGCCGAGUAAAGAGAACACAAAGAUCACC